CUAUUUUUGAUAUAUUUAUAAUUGUUGCCUUAUAAGGUCCUUUGUUUGUUUGAUUUCUGUAUUUUUGUUUCUUCAAAUUUGCACUAAACUUUAAAGAUUUUGAAUGCACCAAGGGAACUAUGGAUGACUCCCCGAUGUAACAAAGAGCACAUUUUAAAUACAAAGUAAUCAAACAGGCUAGUUUACAAAUGUCCCAUGAUUUAGUUAUGUCCAUCAGUAGAAUCCAGACGGUACCGUCUUCAUCAGCUGUCUGUAUGCAAGUUGAUUUUGUUUUGAGAAAAGUAAGAUGUUCCUCGAAAAAAAAAAAAAGAGAAAAAAAGAGAGCAAGAGACAUUUUUUUUGGCCCUGUGAUGGCAAAACAUUGACUGUAUAAAUCCUACUGUGCAAUAAAUGGUGAAUGUCGCAGUCAACCUUUACCACUAUGGCAUUUCUAUCCAUGUGGGAAGAGAAGAGAUACUUCUGACAGAUGCCACGCUUUCAAAGGAUAAUUGCAGACAAUUAAUAGGCUCUCAAGUUAAAGGGACCAGAAUCCCAUUGGAGGUCACGAGCGUUUCAUCAGAGGAUUUACAACCAUCUGCGAUACACAAACACACACUAAUAAAAGCUUGAAAAGGACCACUUGCAGCAAUCAUCAGGGCAUAAGAGACAUCUGCGGUUUCCAUCAUGUAGAGGGCACUAAGAAAUAUAUCGUGUGAGUAUGUGCUUUAUGUGUGUGUGUGUGUGUUUAUGUGUAGAGACAGAAAGAGGGCUUCUAGUGGUGUUGCCAAAGCUCCACAUGUAAUUUUUUUCCCUCCAGUCACCUUCUGCUCUGUAAUUGCAGGAUGUCACAGUCUGAAUGCAUGUUGAUUUUCUGAGUAAAAAACUUUAUUUCAAAAAGUUUUUUUGUUGGUUUUUUUUGUUGUUAAUUUCGUUGUUUUUUUUUUUUUUGCAUGAACACUGCCACUCUGUGUGUGUUUAAGUGUGUGUGAAUGUAUUUUCACAGGCUCAAGCUGCCAUAUUAUCUUAUAGUAUCAAUCCACACCACACAGGUACACCAGAUGGGUUUCACACUGUCUUUUAAAUCCUUGUCUGGGUAAGACCUGCUUUAAAAAAAAGCUGUUCCUCAGACUGCGCUCUUCUGGACAGAUAUCUUGGAUGUUGUUUAUGGAAUCUGCUGGACCCACUCGCGUAGCUUGGGAGUCACUGCUCCGAUUACCACUGGGACCACUGUUACCUUCACCCUCCACAUUUUCUCUCUCUCUCUCUAAAAUAUCAUCAGUGUAAAUUAAAAUUCACCUGAUUUAUUUUCUUUUAUUUAAAGAAGCUGAAUAUUUAAAAUCAGUUUUAACGCUUCAAAAAGAGAAAACUGCAUUAGUCAGUUAGGUUAUCUUUGCAUUCAAGUGGCAAAGCCACAUAGUUGUCAUCCAUCAGGGGCAAAGAAGGAAAUGCAUCAAAAUCCUCUUUGGACGAGGUCAGGAUGUUUGGAUGAAUCAGCAAAACAGCUGACCUUCAUAUACAAGCAAUGCUCCUCCUCCCUGAAUUGCUCCUGAUGAAUUCACUGGCAAAUCAUCAUUAAUCUGCGAUCAUCUGUGAAUGUUGGAGAGAAAGCACUCAGGACUGAAAAUGUAUUCAUAUAAAUGUUUGUUUGAAUGAUGCUUGUGGCAUAAAGUGCUUGGAGUGCUCAAGCAAAGCAAAAAAAACAAUAUGGAGGAAUCAGUCUAUUUAUUCUGACAUUUAAUAUUUACAGGGUCAUUGUCAUAAUGCCAGAGAUUUGAAGACUUAAACAGGAUUCAGAGACCAAUACUGAGUUUAUUGUUUUUAUAAUAAAAGUUUGUUUCACAGGAGUCAAACUCGGGAACCAAGCAACAAGUAAGUUUUUCAUUUCUGGAUGACCGCCAGAGAGCACAAGAAGGUUAGCGUCACGUAGGGAAAGAUUGUUUCCAGUAUUGCUUUUAUGUGCAGAUAGAUGUUUCACUCUGUUGAAAGACUGCAAACCAUUUUUUGAAGGACAUGCUGGAUGGCUAUGGAACAGAACUUCAAAAAUAUUCAAAUCCCUUAAAUUAUUAUUCAAACUAAUAGUUGUUUUUGACCCUCAGUUGGUAAACUAUUGGUUCAGCAGCAGCCCUGCAAUUUUAUCUAUGCAUUCACUGGUAAUGAAUUUGUCCAUUUGCAGCAUUUCAAGGUCUUCUUGCAACUGUUAUUUUGAAGAGGUUUUAAUUUUUCAAUUGAUUAUUUUUUUAUUACCUCUGAAGAAAUAAAGAUAGAGCUCUGUUGUCCAGAAAUGAAUGCUGGGAGAAGCAAGUCUUUGAACGGAUAUCCUUGCUUCUUCUGUCCUCAAACCUUUUAACUACAUACAAAAUUGGCAAUUUCUUGUUAAAGAUCAGUGGAAGAUGUACAUUUAAAAAUAUAGUGUAGACAGUUGCAUACUGACAUUUGAAAGACUGAGUUCUUCUGUGAGUCAGCAAAGUUUCUUAGGCGUCUGAACAUAGAGAGAAAGUGGUGAUCUCUUUGGAUGAUAUGCAAGGCACAUCUUGCCACUGAGACGUAGACUCUGUCCCAGCAGAGCCAGGGGCUGCAUGUGCUUGACUGCGCCCUUCUGACAUCACCCAUCACUCUUUGGUAGCUGAAGACCUCCUCUGCCCGUCAUCCUUUCCCUCUGCCCGUCAUCCUUUCCCUCUCUCCAAUGUCUCUGGCAGAGUUUUGAAAGAUGAGGUCUACCCUGGGGACA
rnacentral:lncRNA from 1 species